ACACUUCCUAAACAGAUCCAUGUUAAGCUCUUCAAAUCUAGCACGUGUGAUGGUGGAGUAAAAAUCAAUACCCUCAUACAGAGAGUCGAUCUCAAUGGUGGUCUGAGCAGUGGAUGAAAGUGUCCUCUUUGCCCUCUCACAUGCAGUUCUCAACCUCCUGAGUGCCCUAGGAUUACCAGUGAUAUCCUUUUUGUUCUUCCUUUUAAAUUCCUGAACAAAAUGAUUUACCAUCCUGUUGUCAAAGUCCUCA
rnacentral:misc_RNA from 1 species